rnacentral:rRNA from 1 species
AUGCUGGAGGUAUCAGAAGUGCGAAUGCUG